UUUUGGUCACCUGACUUCCUGUUGGUGUUGCUGAGCUUAGUUGCGGGUUACUUUUCCGAAGCCUCCAUCGCAGCUGAUGCGGAGUGCCGACGUGGAGGAGACCAGGGUGCCUUGGUGGUGGGAUCCUCUGAGUGUACACACCUGCCUUGUUUAAUUUAUAGUGAUAAAAGCAAAGCAGCAGCUACUUUGGUGUGGGAUUCCACAGCUGUGUUACAGAGAUGGAGGAAGAGUUACAGGAACUCAGGGACUUGAUCGCGCAGCUGAAAGCAGACAAUGAGAGGCUGCGCCAGGAGAGGGCUGUUGAGUCAGAUGCGGAGUGCCGACGUGGAGGAGACCAGGGUGCCUUGGUGGUGGGAUCCUCUGAGUGUACACACCUGCCUUGUUUAAUUUAUAGUGUGAGUGUGUGAUAGUGUGCUGCACUUGUGUCUUGGUGUAUUUUCUUCUUUUUGAGUUUGUGUGUGGCAUCCCUGCCCUCCACUGGUAAGCCUCAGCUCUGAAUACC
ensembl:lncRNA